rnacentral:rRNA from 1 species
GACGAACGCUGGCGGCGUGCUUAACACAUGCAAGUCGAACGGAAAGGCCCUGCUUUUGUGGGGUGCUCGAGUGGCGAACGGGUGAGUAACACGUGAGUAACCUGCCCUUGACUUUGGGAUAACUUCAGGAAACUGGGGCUAAUCCCGGAUAGGAGCUCCUGCUGCAUGGUGGGGGUUGGAAAGUUUCGGCGGUUGGGGAUGGACUCGCGGCUUAUCAGCUUGUUGGUGGGGUAGUGGCUUACCAAGGCUUUGACGGGUAGCCGGCCUGAGAGGGUGACCGGCCACAUUGGGACUGAGAUACGGCCCAGACUCCUACGGGAGGCAGCAGUGGGGAAUAUUGCACAAUGGGCGGAAGCCGGAUGCAGCAACGCCGCGUGCGGGAUGACGGCCUUCGGGUUGUAAACCGCUUUCGCCUGUGACGAAGCGUGAGUGACGGUAAUGGGUAAAGAAGCACCGGCUAACUACGUG